rnacentral:ncRNA from 1 species
GAUAUAGCUAUGAAGAAAAGUAGUAGGUUUAAUUAGUCUUUUAAAGGGCCAGGUUAGUCAGGCGAAAAGAGAGCUGGGUUUGGUGGGAACCAGUAAAGACGUUAAGCUGAAGGCGUUUCUGAGCUAACAAGGUAAGGGGACACACCUCAAUUACGGGUUAAUCUGGGUGUCCGAGGAAUGUCCCCGAACUUAUGGGUACAUAAUGUCCCCGAACUUAUGGGUACAUAAUGUCCCCUAAUUAUUAAGGUGGAGCACUAAUGAUGUGCUCAAUCAGGGUGGAACCGCGGGCAAUCCCGUCCCUGUA